rnacentral:lncRNA from 1 species
GGGGAGGGCACCUUUCAGUAGGCACUCACUACCAGUGGCUGGCCCUGCUCCAAAUGAUGGUAUGUGACUCCUUUUGUCUUCAGCCAAAAGUCCCACUUGUCAGCUUGUGAUGUGUGUGGGCGUCCCGAUGGCCUGCCCUGGGCAAUGCUGGGCUUGGGUGGGCCCCUCUGGAAGAGCGAAGUGUGUAUCCAGUUGCAGGUAACCAAGUAUGAGCCAUGUAGUGCCAUGAGGGCCCCAACAGUGGCCUAGGCAAGGCUGGGGUAGCACAGGGAGGAGAGAGGCAGACGGCAGAGCCCCAGGAAACUGCAGUCAGGGGGCAGGAUGGGGUUUGCUGUACUUUCAUGGCUUGGGUUUGUGUUUCUCUCCCUCUAACGUCUUCCCGUUGUCUUUCCUAGCAGAGAAGGAAGAACCCUCAGGAAGGCCUGUACAAUGUGAGUAGAGGAGACCUCACAUUUGACCUUGGAAAGUUGGAGGAAGGGCUGGAGGAGGGCUCCAGAGGAAGGGCUGGAGGAAGGGCUGGAGGAGGGCUCCAGAGGAAGGGCUGGAGGAAGGGCUGGAGGAGGGCUCCGGAGGAAGGGCUGGAGGAAGGGCUGGAGGAGGGCUCCGGAGGAAGGGCUGGAGGAAGGGCUGGAGGAGGGCUCCGGAGGAAGGGCUGGAGGAAGGGCUGGAGGAGGGCUCCGGAGGAAGGGCUGGAGGAAGGGCUGGAGGAGGGCUCCGGAGGAAGGGCUGGAGGUAGGGCUGGAGGAGGGCUCCGGAGGAAGGGCUGGAGGAAGGGCUGGAGGAGGGCUCCGGAGGAAGGGCUGGAGGAAGGGCUGGAGGAGGGCUCCGGAGGAAGGGCUGGAGGAAGGGCUGGAGGAGGGCUCCGGAGGAAGGGCUGGAGGAGGGCUCCGGAGGAAGGGCUGGAGGAAGGGCUGGAGGAGGGCUCCAGAGGAAGGCGGUUGCUCCUCACUCUGUGGUCUUUGUCUGUCCAGACCUUCCCUUCUUGGAUCGAGUAAUGUCUCACCUGCUUGCGGCCUGCAGCAGCACCUGCUUCUAGAAAGUCUCCUUAGCUGAAAAGUGCCGAGUAAUCUCCCUUCCCUCCCCAAACCCUGCUGCUGGAGUUCCCAGGUUGAUCAGCCUGGGGUGUAGGGGGACACAGCAAGGUCAAGCUAGGCAAGGACGAGGUGGCUGGCCCCUUCGAGGGGCUCCUGUCCUGGGUGCUGAAGUCUUCUGAGUGUACCCCCCUAUAGGAAGGUCAACCUCACCCUCCUGGGUGUGACCCUGAACCCUGAUUGUCGAUCUGGGUUGCCAUGCAGGAGACCCUUGCAGGUGGCAGCCUUCUGUGAAGGAGAUGCCUCCCCGCCCCUCCUGUGGGGAGGGAGGGUUGAUCUACAGCCCGUUUGGCUGUGUAAAGAGACAACUUGCUCAGAUAAAUGAUUCUGGGGCUCCAGGUGAGCCCUUGUUUUGCCCAGUCUCCGUGUCUUUGUCUAGAACUCCACCUCCUAUCUUUUUGAGCCUAACUUGAGCCCCUCAGCUCAGUGCAAAGAGCUGGCAGCUCGGAGGAGACUCCAAAGGGCUGAGGAUGAGGGGGGUGGGCUGGAGCUGGUUGUGGGCAGAGAAGUUUGUGUGCAUAAGGUUUGGAGCCUUGAUUGUGGGAGCCCUCCCUGUCUGCCACUGCUGCCAACUUGGGGAUCAAGAAGCUUCCUGUUGUAGGGGAACCUGCUGCUUUCUGCAUUAGUUGGUAAAAAUCAGUGUUCCACGCCCUCUUCUGCAGGAACUGCAGAAAGAUAAGAUGGCGGAGGCCUACAGUGAGAUUGGGAUGAAAGGCGAGGUGAGUGUUGCUGUUUCUUAAUUUCCGAGGGAGUUCCUCUUGGUCCUCCAGACACGCCUGCUGCAGGCCUCCUUUCCCAUCCACUUCUCAUCCCAGCUGCAAAUGCCCAUGUGGUGGCCAUCAGAGGUGAAGGCGAACCUGGCUGUCACCCAGCCGGGCAGAACAUAAGAAACUAAGGAAGGGCUGAUGCUCUUUCAGUACAGAAAACCACAUCUAGAUUCUAUGACAGCCUAAGCUUUGCAAAAGCAGGUCCGUUUUAAUAACAGGAAGCAUCGAGUGCUUAAUAUGUGCUGCCGUGUUCAGUGCUCAGGACCACAGGUCCCAGGACAACAUGAAAACAAUUCAUCAACAAUUAAGAAUUGUUCAUCAACAAUUAAUUGUUCAUCAACAAUUAAGAAUUUCAAAAUGGUGAGAGUGAAGCAUUGACCCCUUCCAAGCAGGGGUUCUCUGUAGUUUUAUUUAAUUCCCACAACAACCCAAUGAGAAACAUGUGCCCUGCAAGGCACAAGGAGGUUGAGUGACUUACCCAAGGUCUUCUAGCUGGUAAACGGGCACGUGAUUGAACUGACUAUGCCAGAGCUCGUAACUGCUCAAAACAGCUGGUUGUCAGUGAGCAAAAAUGACUAGCCAAGAACUUUAAGAGCUGAAGGGAAGCCCAUUUAUCUAAGCAGUAGGCAAUAUAGGUCCUGCGGGCCCUAGACCUUAGGAAUCUGAUGUCUGUGAGGAUCUGAGUGGGGUGGAGCAAACCCAAGCCCCAUCAUGGCCAGGCCUCACCUUACUCUGCAGAGAUGAAGGUCUGACCAGGGGCCUGAGGAUCCUUCUCUCCCAGGGGCAGGGGUGCUGCUGGGAGACAGUUACCUCUGACUUCCUGGGUACCUUGGGAGGGGCCCUUGAGCAGAAAUGCCACUACUGACUGCCUGACUUUCUAAUCCUUUUCUCAUUUCACUCCCAAACAACCAGCGCCGGAGGGGCAAGGGGCACGAUGGCCUUUACCAGGGUCUCAGUACAGCCACCAAGGACACCUACGACGCCCUUCACAUGCAGGCCCUGCCCCCUCGCUAACAGCCAGGGGAUUUCACCACUCAAAGGCCAGACCUGCAGACGCCCAGAUUAUGAGACACAGGAUGAAGCAUUUACAACCCGGUUCACUCUUCUCAGCCACUGAAGUAUUCCCCUUUAUGUACAGGAUGCUUUGGUUAUAUUUAGCUCCAAACCUUCACACACAGACUGUUGUCCCUGCACUCUUUAAGGGAGUGUACUCCCAGGGCUUACGGCCCUGGCCUUGGGCCCUCUGGUUUGCCGGUGGUGCAGGUAGACCUGUCUCCUGGCGGUUCCUCGUUCUCCCUGGGAGGCGGGCGCACUGCCUCUCACAGCUGAGUUGUUGAGUCUGUUUUGUAAAGUCCCCAGAGAAAGCGCAGAUGCUAGCACAUGCCCUAAUGUCUGUAUCACUCUGUGUCUGAGUGGCUUCACUCCUGCUGUAAAUUUGGCUUCUGUUGUCACCUUCACCUCCUUUCAAGGUAACUGUACUGGGCCAUGUUGUGCCUCCCUGGUGAGAGGGCCGGGCAGAGGG